AACGCACGAGACCUGCGGACCUGCGGAAGGAUCAUUAACGAAUAACUAUGGUGUUGGUUGUAGCUGGCUCCUCGGAGCAAUGUGCACGCCCGCCAUUUUUAUCUUUCCACCUGUGCACCGGCUGUAGGUCUGGAUACCUCUCGCCUCCGGGCGGAUGCGAGGGUUGCUCGUAAGGGCUUCCCUUGAACUUCCAGGCUCUACGUCUUUUUACACACCCCAAUAGUAUGAUGCAGAAUGUAG
rnacentral:misc_RNA from 1 species